rnacentral:SRP_RNA from 1 species
CGGCAAGUCCUACACGACCAGCUCCUGCAAACUCCUCCAGGGUGGGAACACAGCAAAGGUAUGCGGUUGUAGCGGUGCGAUGUAGGGAGCUUGCCACUU